GAUGAACGCUGGCGGCGUGCCUAAUACAUGCAAGUCGAGCGAACGGACGAGAAGCUUGCUUCUCUGAUGUUAGCGGCGGACGGGUGAGUAACACGUGGAUAACCUACCUAUAAGACUGGGAUAACUUCGGGAAACCGUAGCUAAUACCGGAUAAUAUUUUGAACCGCAUGGUUCAAAAGUGAAAGACGGUCUUACUGUCACUUAUAGAUGGAUCCGCGCUGCAUUAGCUAGUUGGUAAGGUAACGGCUUACCAAGGCAACGAUGCAUAGCCGACCUGAGAGGGUGAUCGGCCACACUGGAACUGAGACACGGUCCAGACUCCUACGGGAGGCAGCAGUAGGGAAUCUUCCGCAAUGGGCGAAAGCCUGACGGAGCAACGCCGCGUGAGUGAUGAAGGUCUUCGGAUCGUAAAACUCUGUUAUUAGGGAAGAACAUAUGUGUAAGUAACUGUGCACAUCUUGACGGUACCUAAUCAGAAAGCCACGGCUAACUACGUG
rnacentral:rRNA from 1 species